rnacentral:rRNA from 1 species
UACGUAGGGUCCGAGCGUUGUCCGGAAUUAUUGGGCGUAAAGGGCUCGUAGGCGGUCUGUCGCGUCGGGAGUGAAAACUUACAGCUUAACUGUGAGCGUGCUUCCGAUACGGGCAGACUUGAGGUAUUCAGGGGAGAACGGAAUUCCUGGUGUAGCGGUGAAAUGCGCAGAUAUCGGGAGGAACACCGGUGGCGAAGGCGGCGACCUGGGUAGAUACUGACGCUGAGGUGCGAAAGCGUGGGGAGCAAACAGG